CACACCACACACACACACACUCAGGUUGUGGGUUUACCACCUAGGGCAGGAACUUGGCGACUCUGGCCCCGAAGAGGCCCCGAGGGGGCAGAAGAUGCUGUGGGCCGCUUGCUGAUCAGAUUGUGGGUUUUGAGGACCUCUCCAUCCCUUACGCCCUGAAGCUGGGAAGGACCCCCCGCCCCAAUGCACUGGCAGGCACUGAGAACUGGCUGUGUCACCAGAAGGCCAGGGGAGAGGGCAGAGCAGCCUGAUGCUGACAAAACAGGCCCAGGGACUGUGGAAAAAGAGCUGCCUUUGUCAGCUGGGGAGGGGGAGGUGUUGGGGGGAGGGGACAGCCCGGGCCCUGCUACCCCCUUCCCCAGGGCGAUCAGGCUGUUGACGUCAGCACCAAACUCCUCUGCUGGAAAGGAAAAGCAUGGGCCGUCCCCGGUGAACACCGGCAAACCACAGCCGCAGAGGCCAGCGGGGAGAACGUGGCAGAGAGCCAGAGCUCUCUACGCGGGGGACAUGUGAGCCAUCCACGGCCCGGCAGGAUUGGGGUCGGGGAAUGACGUCAGACCAGGAGCUGCCAGGCUCCUGGAUGCCUGGCUGAGGUCACUGCUGCCCGGCGAAGAAUCUGGGGCAACUGACUGAGACAAUGACUACAUCAGCUGGGCCGGAGAUCCAGGCGCCCCCCUCGGGUGUGGGCUCACAGUGGGCCCUCUGUUCCAGAAGACAGACGCUGGACAGCGCCAGGCCCCACCGGAGCAGGAGGUAGUUUGUUGCCAAGGGAUUUGGCGAAACCAUUUCUACCCAUCUAGCAGAUUCAAGUCAAUGCCACUAAGUGGACAUUCAUGAAGCAUUAAGUAUUUGCAAGAGCCUGCUGUAGCGGUUAAAGAGAUGGCUUCAGAGUUCAUGUCCUACAUCUGACUCAUCCUGACUGUGUGACUCUGUAUGAAGAGACCGAAGUUCAGAGAGGUUUGUCCAUGGUCACCCAACUGGUGUCAGAGAAAGUCAGCAGAGCUGGGAGAACAAUAUAUUCGG